UGGGGAAUCUUGCGCAAUGGGCGAAAGCCUGACGCAGCGACGCCGCGUGCGGGAAGAAGGCCUUCGGGUUGUAAACCGCUUUCAGGAGGGACGAAGCCACUCGGGUUAAUAGCCCAGAGGGUGACGGUACCUCCAGAAGAAGCCCCGGCUAACUACGUGCCAGCAGCCGCGGUAAUACGUAGGGGGCAAGCGUUGUCCGGAUUUAUUGGGCGUAAAGCGCGUGUAGGCGGCCACACAGGUCCGCUGUGAAAACUGGAGGCUCAACCUCCAGAGGUCGGUGGAAACCGUGUGGCUAGAGUCCGGAAGAGGAGACUGGAAUUCCCGGUGUAGCGGUGGAAUGCGCAGAUAUCGGGAGGAACACCCGUGGCGAAGGCGGGUCUCUGGGACGGUACUGACGCUGAGACGCGAAAGCGUGGGGAGCGAACAGG
rnacentral:rRNA from 1 species